UACGUAGGGUGCAAGCGUUAAUCGGAAUUACUGGGCGUAAAGCGUGCGCAGGCGGUUAUGUAAGACAGAUGUGAAAUGCCCGGGCUUAACCUGGGAACUGCAUUUGUGACUGCAUGGCUAGAGUUUGGCAGAGGGGGGUAGAAUUCCACGUGUAGCAGUGAAAUGCGUAGAGAUGUGGAGGAAUGACCGAUGGCGAAGGCAGCCCCCUGGGCCAAUACUGACGCUCAUGCACGAAAGGCGUGGG
rnacentral:rRNA from 1 species